GACACAGCCGGGCUGCGAGCGGACACUGCUCUGCCUCGAGCCAGCCCCCGCUUCUGCGGGCAGCUCCCGGGCAGGGAAGCGAAUCACAGCCUCAGGAUGACUUAGAGAGCAGGAGACAAAGGGCAUUUCUCCUUCAAAUCAAAUACUUCAGAGAAAAGGAUCAUCCCUCCCAUUUUGCGGCACCACAGGAAAAGAAGAGGUGAAGUGGGGCAUGGAGAGCUACAGCCCAAAUACUCAGUGGAAGUAAAUAGUACUUGUGUGUGGACACCUUUGUUGCAGUUGUUAAAGAGCAGAGCUAUUUCCUUCUCAAAAUCCAGAAGUCUCAGUAUGUCGAUAUUAAUUUAAAAGGGAGGAUUCAAUUGGAGAUGAUGCAGUUAUGGAUGGACUACCAAUGUCAUGUCAUGUGCAACAAUACAUCUUCACCUGCUCAUGCUUGAUGUUUCCACUGAAAUAAACAUGAGUAUUACUACCUGUUUUAGUACCCUUGAGAGCACAGUUCUGCUGGCUUGGGGUUAGGGUGUUUUUUUUGGCAAGGUAGUUCUUUUUUUGGAAAAGUGCAUACAGUGAGUUAGUGUUUUGCUUGAAUGUGAGAAAUGGAAGUGUGAAAGUGAAGCUGUUCUAAUUGAUAGAGCUUUUGGGAACUUUCUUCUUUCCUACAAAUUAAUGAAAUUGUCUAGAUUAAAUCAAUUUAGAUGGGGUGUGACUGUGAGAUAAUAUGCUGGCCUUUCUAUCUGAAAAUCUCUCUGCUAUUUGGAUUGAUGGCACUGGGCCAGUGUCUAAUGGAUGCACUUGUCUACAUUACAGAAGAAGUUCCUGUAGUCUGGACUUUUGCUUCAGAGAGCCUGAAGAUUUAGUGAAUUUUUUUUCACCCUAGAUGAAAACUUUCCUGUUAGUGCUAUGCCAAAUAUCUGUUGAUAUUCUGUGCAGAAUUUUAUUGUGUUUGUAAUAAUCAGAUUGACAUCUCUGUUUUCAGUGACUGCUUGAAUGAAAUAAAGAAUGAAGUUUUAGUGGUUCA